rnacentral:rRNA from 1 species
AUGCAGAAAAGCAAGCGUGCACCAGGCUACAAGGAGAAGUUGGAGUUUGCGACGAACUUUGCGGAUGAGAUAUCCCAGGGGCUGCUCUUCGAGAAGGCAGAUCAGGUCCCUUUGCUCGCGGAGCUCAUUAAAAUCGGCAGUUUGAUGGACUUCCACGCUGCCGCUGUCGAGUACCUUCUGAAAUCAAAAAAUCUGCAGCUGUUCCCUGAAGACGAAGAAUUCCUUAACACUGCAUCGCUAGGUCGUAGCAGGAACCGUUAG